CGGGUGAGUAAUGUCUGGGAAACUGCCUGAUGGAGGGGGAUAACUACUGGAAACGGCAGCUAAUACCGCAUAACGUCGCAAGACCAAAGAGGGGACCUUAGGGCCUCUUGCCAUCGGAUGUGCCCAGAUGGGAUUAGCUAGUAGGUGGGGUAAAGGCUCACCUAGGCGACGAUCCCUAGCUGGUCUGAGAGGAUGACCAGCCACACUGGAACUGAGACACGGUCCAG
rnacentral:rRNA from 1 species